CUCUCCUCGCGGUCAUACUGCUUGGCAGGCGAACCCCUCCCGGCGCCGCGCUGCUGGCUGCCGUCCUGCGAACCUGUCGGCUCUUAUGCGUCGCCUAUGUGUCCAGCGAGCUUCAACCUAGACCUCUGUCGCUCCGGUGAGUCCUUCUUCCCUCCCUGUUUUUUUUUUCCUUUCCGUCUGGUUUUUUUUCGACGUUUGCGCUGGCCUUGGACCCUUUCGCUCGGCCUUACCAUCGCCUGGCCGCAACCGCACGUCGUGGCCGUGGCCAUACACCAACUGUGUUGUCCGGUGCCACUGCUGCUUCAGUCCGCGCCACCGCGAGCUCCUGCGUGCGCGUGCAGCCCACUCGCCCGCUUUGGCGAGCCCCAGGCUCGCAGCCCCUCAUCGGUCCCUGGCCCUACUGCCUGCCCCCGCCGGCUAGCCCCCGUGCCAGUGCGGGCGUGCUGCCGCGCACCUCGGCCUCGGCUCUAACGAGCUGCGCGCAGCACUCGCCGUCGAGCUGCCCCGCGUCUUGCCUGCAUGCGCUAGCAGUGCAGAAUUGUAGAUACGGGAAGGAGAAAAAUGUAGAGAAGAAAGAGAAGAACUGUUGUGUGGACCCCACAGGCAUGCAACAUGCAGCAACCCACGCACGAUCCACCUGCGUAAAAGAGAAAUCGUGUAUGGGUCCCACCUGCAUGUUCCUUCUCCACAUGAUCUCAUCACCGCACGUCAUGCAUGAGAGAAAAUAGAACAGCCAUGGGUCAGAUCUGGUGUGCCCGCGACUUUGUAGCCCUCCAUGUGGUUUGGGUCUGACCAGUCACCUUGAGCCACAUCAUCGCGAUUUUACGUAGACUUUAUCGUUUACAUAAAAAUUCCAUUUUGAUCUGUUCCUCUUGCGUUAAUUCCAUAAUAAUAUCGUCUACGUGUUAAUAAUAUUGUUUCACCAUGUCAUAUAUUUUAGUUAAUUUAAUUAAUUGUUCAUUCGAUAGUUAUUAAAAACAACUUUCAAAUUAAAACUAAUUUAUAGUUUAAAUUUGUGCUUUUAUAAAUAUUUGUUAACGUGAUUACGUCGAUUCAAAUGUUUAUGAGUUAAUACUUGUUUAGUAUAAACAUGACAUCUAAUUAGUAAUUCUCAUGUGUCGUUUGCCUUGUCGCACUUUGUUAGCGUGUAUCUUGCGUGUCGAUGACGCGGGUCGGACGACGUCUGCUCGUAAUAAUAAAUUGUUCUUGCUUAUAAUCACUCAUGUUAAUAACAUUAACUUAUCAGGUCACACAUUCUAAUUAAUUUAUUUAAUGGUUGCUCGACUAAUGAUUAUUAGAUUAGAAUUCCAAUUAAAUUAAAUAUAUAAUUGUCAACUUGCGUUUUUAUGAAUAAAUAUUAACAUGGUUAAUAUUGACUUAAAUACUUUUAUUUAUUUGAUACUUGUAUAGUUUAAAUACGACAUCUAAUUAGUUCUUCGCUGCCUAUCACGUGUGCUAUUCCGCGCGCGGUGGCGUGCUGCUUCGCGUGUCGUGCACGUGUUGUCUGUGCGUUGUUCGUGCGCGAUAUGCUCGUGGUCGCGUGCUGAUUCCUGCGCAUUCGCGCUCAUCGCGCGCGCUGUUUCGUGUGUCGUUUGCGUGCGUCGCGUGUAUCCGCGCGUCGUCGCAUAAUAUUAUUCGCGUGCUGUUUGCGCGUUGUCGACUUUCCUUCGCGCGUUCAUGCCGCGCAUCUGGGUCGCGUGUCGUGCACUGUCCGCGCGCGAUAUUAAAGUCGUUCGAUUAUAAUCACUAAGGUUAAUUAGUUAACUAUUUGUUUAAUCGUCCACUAUUAAAAUAGUAAGUUAGUCAAAGCUAAGUAGUAGUAUUAAUUUAUAUUUGAUAUGAUAAUGUCAAUUCACGUAAUUAUAAUUACGUCGAACUAAUAUUCUAAUUAAGACUUGUUUAGUAUAAACACGUUACCGAUUUAGCUUUCCCGCCUAUGUCGCGCGUAUUGUUCAGCACGCGGUGGCGUGCUGUUUCGCGCGUCAUUCGUGCUGGUCGCGCGCGCUGUCUUGUGCGUCGUUCGUGUGAUGUGUCGCGUGUGUCCCCGCAUCGUUCGCGCGCUGUUGUGUUGUUUCGCACGUCCUAGAUUCGCCUCACUUAGAAUCUCUCGUUUUAAUUAAAUUACUUAUUUAACUGAUAUUGGUCAGUGUAGCAGAUUAAUCGAACUGACUGAUGUAUAACACUAUAUUUGUUAAUGUCGAAUUAAAUGUUAUAUUUGUUUAGCGUAAACGCGAUAACUCCUCGACUCUAGCUUCGACCGUCGCGUUUCUUUCUCUCGCGUGACUAUAGAAUCGAACUCUAUUUUAUGCUGCAUGUUUUUAUAACAUUUUAUCUUGCAUGGUGUAAUGUUCUUAUGCAUAUAUCUAUGUUUAUUUGCUUGUGCUUGUUCGUCUUCGCUUCGCGUUGCGACUAGAUCAUGAUUCGUUUCUGAGCUUCGAGGAAUCGACAGUCAAGCUUUGGCGACCAAGUGUUCGCACUUUCCGAGUUCU
rnacentral:lncRNA from 1 species